GCGUUUGAGAGACCUUGGCAGGGCUCAGUUGGAAACAAUCUCCUCCCUUUGCAAACCAGAGCAGGGAGACCCAAGCAGUCUACUUCCGAGGCAGGCCCUUCCCCGUGGCUGAGGCAGGGAGGGUCUCCUCAUGAGGACGUGGCUCUGCGACUUUACUUUCACUGGAAACGGAAGCUGUCUGUGUUUCCACCUUGCAUGCUUGUCGGGGGAUGUAGGGGCAGCGUCUGGGGUGCUGACCCCAGCCAUCGACGUGAGACGCUGGCCCUGCAGUGCAGCCCAGCCCCUCAGUGGUGAAUCAGUGCAUGUGGACACAGGAUGUGUUCAUUUUCCAGGGCUGCCAUAAACAAGUACUGCAAACCAAGUGGCUUAAACAACAGAAACCUAUUUGUUCACAGUCCUGGAGGCUGGAAGUCCUCAAUCAAGGACUGUCAUGAUGCAAACCCUCUGGAGAAAAUACUGGAAGAGAAAAAUCUGGUCUUCAUUCUCUCUGACUGUCCCAAGGUGAACCCUGGGCUUCAAGGAGAUUCCUCUACCCCGGGGCACCAAAAGUCAGAGGCCUUCAGUUCAGCUGCAUGUCAGAAUUCCUCAACAGAAAUGUCUUGGAAUAUCAGUUCCUGGGCCCCACCCUCAGAGCAUCCUACCUCUGUUGAUCUGAGGUUGGGGGGAAUCCUGUGUGGCGGAGCACUGGGCAAGUGGACGAGGUGGGGCAGCCCCAGGCCCGGGCAUCACUUGUGUAAAGUCUUCCAGGUGAUACUGACACAUGGGCAGACCCAAGAGACACUGUCCUAAGCAUCGCUCUUCCUGCCACUCUGCUUCAGAAGGUCCUUUCCCUUCACCACGGAACAGCCCAUCUGCCUCCUUCUCAUCAUGGAAUCAUCAUGGAAUCCCCUUCCAAGCCCGUCUCAUGUGGGCUUUUCCUUGAAACUUUCUCCCUCCUCCAGCCCAACCAGGCCCGAUGCCUUGGUCACUCGAAUACUCAUAGUGUUUACUUCCCGCUGUUACUUCCCCUCUCGGGCCUCAUGUGAUGGUGGUUGGCCAGGUAGCCUGACCACACGAUGAUGGUGUGUGCUUAGAAAGGACCUCACGGACAUCUUGCCCAACUUCUGGCUCUGUGAGGGAGCAAGGCUCAGGCAGUAUUGGGUCUGAGUUCGCAGCUUGGUGUCCUGUUAUCCCUUUUCUAAAUUAAAAAGGCUGGAAUUGAUUCCAGUUCAAAUUCUAAGGCCACUCUUCUUGCACCUCCCUAGCUGUGUACUUCACAUCACUUUAAAAUGCUUUGCAGAAUGGGACUUCCCCGCAGUCCAGUGGUGAAGGCUCUGCGCUCCCACUGCAGGAGGCAUGGGUUCAAGCUCUGUCUGGAAACUAAGAUUCCACAGGCAGCACUGCAUGGCCAAAAUAAAUAGAUAAAAUGAAAUGUUUUGUAGAAAAUCAAUUCUAUAAUCACGUUGUAGAACAGAAGCAUGUUGUUCAGAUAUUACAUCUGAGUAUUAAUUAACUGCUACAAAUCACAAUCCAUAGCUACAAAUACAAUCCAAUAUUUUCAAAACAACCCAAUUUUUUCGAAAAAAAAACCCUGAUUGACUUAGAUUUCAGUUUCUAAGUUUACUACAUGAAAUACACUUUUAAAGAAUAAGCUGCUACACUUUGGGGGCUUCCCUGGUGGCUCAGAUGGUUAGGAAUCCACUUGCAAUACACGAGACCUGGGUUCGAUCCCUGUGUCAGGAAGAUCCCCUGGAGGAGGGCAUGGCAACCCACUCCAGUACUCUUGCCUGGAGAAUCCCAUGGACAGAGGAGCCUGGCAGGCUACAGCCUACUGGGUUGCAGAGUCAGACACAACUGAGAGGCUAACACAUACUUUGCUUCUGGGAGAUGAGGUCUUUUGCUGGUUUCUCUCACUGGGCUCGGGCAGUGGUUUCAGUUGAACAGUGAAUGAGCAGCUCCAUCAUCCUUUCUUACCUUCCUCUCCUCCCCAAAUGCUCUAAUCCCUGUAGCUGUGCUCUAAAGUCUUAUGUAUUGGUCCCUGAUACUGUAAUUACAAUAAACGGAUAACCAGGGAUGUGGAAAACGACCAUUUGCUCCUUUGUAAAGUUCUUCAUGUCUUGCUGGUCUGGAUGUCAGUAUUCCUACCUCCACGAACUUAGGGUACCAGGGGACAGAAGAUACACCAUUCUCUGCACCACUAAGGAUGAAAGAUCUGGG
ensembl:lncRNA